CAGCUCUCCGAGUGGUAGGGACGAUUAUUGGGCUUAAAGCGUCCGUAGCCGGCUUAGCAAGUUUCCUGUUAAACCCAGCGACUCAAUCGUUGGAUCGCGGGAAAUACUACUAGGCUAGGAGGCGGGAGAGGUCAACGGUACUUCUGGGGUAGGGGUGAAAUCCUAUAAUCCCGGGAGGACCACCAGUGGCGAAGGCUGUUGACUAGAACGCGCUCGACGGUGAGGGACGAAAGCUGGGGGAGCGAACCGGAUUAGAUACCCGAGUAGUCC
rnacentral:rRNA from 1 species